UCUGGUGGUUUAUCGCUGGGGUCACACCCGUUCUCAUUCCGAACACGGUAGUUAAGCCCGGUUGAGGCGAUGGUAGUCGCAAGGCAAGAGUAGCUAACCGCCAGAA
rnacentral:rRNA from 3 species